AUGUUCCUAAGGUUGUCCCAGAAGCCCAAGACCUCAGAAUUAUUUAGACGUGAGACAUCUCCAUGGACACGUCAUUGUGACAGUGAAGGUGCUCCAAAGAGACACUGUGACUCUGCUUCUCUCAGCCACUGUCAAAAGCUGUGUGCAGAUCUGAAAGUGCGACAGGGAUCAAUGGGAAUCCAAUGUGGACAAAAAGGUACCCUGGUUAAAUUCAAAGUGAGUUUCAUAAACUGAUUUUAGAAACUGUUUUUCUUUUAAAACAUAUCUUUCAAACAAGAUCACAGUUUUGAAUUUGCAGUAAUGACAUCACGAAAGAUAGAACUGCAGCCAAUAUUUCUGAUAGGGAAAAUAUAUAUAUAAAUGGUAAAUUUAUACUACCCUGACAGAAGAAGGCUUCUCAAGUGCAGAGUUUGGAUUAACAGUAACUGACAGAAAAAAUGACUUUUUAACGCACAGAUUUUAAGAUCACUUUAUGGGAAAAGAUGAUACUAAAACCCAUGGCAAUCAUGCAUAGAUUACUUCUGAAACUUGCAUGUAUUCCCAGUAAGUCCUCUCUAGAUUCCAUUUACCCUUUUUCUACUUAGCUUCCUAUCUGUAUAUGCCCCAGUAGAAAGAAAUCUUCUAGACGUUUACUGGCACAACUUUCUAAUUAGGUUUAUUGAUAAUUAAUCUGGAUAAAUCCAUGUGCAAAAACAUCUCAUUAUCAUUCUUUUAAAGCAUGAUAUAGGGUGUUUGUUUAUAGAUAUUUUUCCAUUUCAUGUUUUCUGCUCUGUGCAUGCUAUAGUGAGACUGUGGGUAUAGCUUCGUUAAAUUUUCAAGUCAGUCUGUGCUUUAAAGAAAUUAGUGCUUGAUAUAUAUGGCUGCAUUGAUGCUGACAUUUGCCAUUUGUACAUGAAGAUGUUAUGACUGUAAGAAAUAUUUUUACACAAAUAUUUUUGUUUACAAUGGCACAAUUUUUAUCAUUUCUGUGUCUUUUUUUUUUCCUAGUUACUUUCCGAUUCUUGUCCAAGCAUACUGCUCAGUGGCAGGAGGAAUAACAUAUAGCUUGCAGACCAUCAUCUGCAUUCUCUUUGCAUUAGGUGUAACACUGGCAUGAAAAUCAGAGCCCUUGCUCCAAUUUUUCCAGCUGUCUCUGUCUCCCUGUGAUCUUUUUGUACAAAU
rnacentral:lncRNA from 1 species